UGCCAGAACAACCAUUCAACAACAGAUCAGUUCCACUGUUCUCAUUAAACAGGUGACAAAUACCGAACGACGGCAACUACACACAACAUUAAAAAAAUGAACCACAUUAUUCAUCACAGCAAACCUACAGGACACAGUGGAGACACGUUUCUCUUCCAUGAGGUUUCUCCAGGAGAAACCUUCCCUUUCAGGGCUCUGGUGUCUCAUUUGUGGCGUCUCAUCCUGACACCAUCCAUUUUUAUGGCAGCUGUAAAUCACAUGCUUCACUGUGUGUCUUACUGACUGAUCGCUGAGCUUCCGUGCUCCCCACAGCUUUGACAACUAGGGAACCAAGCUGGAUCUGAGGGACGAGAAGGAAACCAUUGAGAAGCUGAAGGAGAAGAAGCUGUCACCGAUCACCUACCCCCAGGGCCUCGCUCUGGCUAAGGAGAUAGACGCAGUGAAGUACCUGGAGUGCUCAGCUCUGACCCAGCGUGGUCUGAAGACCGUGUUUGAUGAGGCCAUUCGUGCCGUGCUCUGCCCACAGCCCACCAAAGUCAAGAAGAAGGGCUGCAUCCUGCUGUGAACGACCCAGGACCAGAACCUCUAAACCUCCGACCCCGUGGUGAAAGACCACUCAAAUGUUUCCUGAUAGUUUGAAAUAAAACAGUGUUUAGUUCUAAAUCUACAGCUGAAAGUCUGUGAACAAAAAACAACCCUGUGUCGCUUAAAGAUAU